CCGAAUUUCAGCCAGUUAGCUCGACUCCGCUGAACCAGUAAAUCUCUUCCUUCUCUAGCUGCUCUUCAAUCUGGAUGAGAAGAGUGCGCUGCCGAUCCGCCGACUCAUCAGUGAGAGGGCUCAAUUGCAGGUCGCUAACCGAAGGCUCACCCGUCAGUGACACAUCCCGGCGAGGCUCAACGCUGACAACUAAUGUGCACAGUGGAGUCCACUCUGUAGGCCACGACGACGGCGGUUGAGGGCACUGGGAUGGAGCCGUACUCGCGCAAAUCGUAUGGACCAAACAUGGGGUCGAGGAGUGGUUGAAGUUCGUCAGGUGGGAGAUUGGGGUAGCAAUGCUGCUACGGCUACAACAACGAAAACGAUGUGACGCACUAUCUAGGAGGUUGAUACGUCUCAAACAUAUCAAUAUUUUUUUUAUUUCG
rnacentral:rRNA from 1 species